UACGAAGGGAGCUAGCGUUGUUCGGAAUCACUGGGCGUAAAGCGCACGUAGGCGGAUUUGCAAGUCAGGGGUGAAAUCCCGGGGCUCAACCUCGGAACUGCCUUUGAUACUGCAAAUCUCGAGUCCGAUAGAGGUGGGUGGAAUUCCUAGUGUAGAGGUGAAAUUCGUAGAUAUUAGGAAGAACACCGGUGGCGAAGGCGGCCCACUGGAUCGGUACUGACGCUGAGGUGCGAAAGCGUGGGGAGCAAACAGG
rnacentral:rRNA from 1 species